CUACGGGUCACUCCAGUCGAGAAUAUUCCACAAUGGGCGAAAGCCUGAUGGAGCGACGCCGCGUGCAGGAAGAAUGUCUUCGGAUUGUAAACUGCUUUUAAUCGGGAAGAAGCUUCGGUUGACUGUACCGAUUGAAUAAGGGGCUGCAAACUUCGUGCCAGCAGCAGCGGUAAUACGAAGGCCCCAAGCGUUAUCCGGAUUUAUUGGGCGUAAAGGGCACGCAGGGGGUCCUGUGCGUCUUACCCGAAAUCGAAAGGCUCAACCUUUCGGCUUGGUAAGAUACGGCAGGACUAGAGGAUGUGAGAGGCAAGUGGAACGCACGGUGUAGGGGUGAAAUCCGUUGAUAUCGUGCGGAAUACCAAAGGCGAAGGCAGCUUGCUGGCACAUUCCUGACCCUCAGGUGCGAAAGCGUGGGGAGCAAAAAGGAUUAGAUACCCUUGUAGUC
rnacentral:rRNA from 1 species